AACUACGUGCCAGCAGCCGCGGUAAUACGUAGGGUGCGAGCGUAUCCGGAAUUAUUGGGCGUAAAGAGCUCGUAGGCGGUUUGUCGCGUCUGUCGUGAAAGUCCGGGGCUUAACCCCGGAUCUGCGGUGGGUACGGGCAGACUAGAGUGCAGUAGGGGAGACUGGAAUUCCUGGUGUAGCGGUGGAAUGCGCAGAUAUCAGGAGGAACACCGAUGGCGAAGGCAGGUCUCUGGGCUGUAACUGACGCUGAGGAGCGAAAGCAUGGGGAGCGAACAGGAUUAGAUACCCUGGUAGUCCAUGCCGUAAACGUUGGGCACUAGGUGUGGGGACCAUUCCACGGUUUCCGCGCCGCAGCUAACGCAUUAAGUGCCCCGCCUGGGGAGUACGGCCGCAAGGCUAAAACUCAAAGGAAUUGACGGGGGCCCGCACAAGCGGCGGAGCAUGCGGAUUAAUUCGAUGCAACGCGAAGAACCUUACCAAGGCUUGACAUGUUCUCGAUCGCCGUAGAGAUACGGUUUCCCCUUUGGGGCGGGUUCACAGGUGGUGCAUGGUUGUCGUCAGCUCGUGUCGUGAGAUGUUGGGUUAAGUCCCGCAACGAGCGCAACCCUCGUUCCAUGUUGCCAGCACGUCGUGGUGGGGACUCAUGGGAGACUGCCGGGGUCAACUCGGAGGAAGGUGAGGACGACGUCAAAUCAUCAUGCCCCUUAUGUCUUGGGCUUCACGCAUGCUACAAUGGCCGGUACAAUGGGUUGCGAUACUGUGAGGUGGAGCUAAUCCCAAAAAGCCGGUCUCAGUUCGGAUUGGGGUCUGCAACUCGACCCCAUGAAGUCGGAGUCGCUAGUAAUCGCAGAUCAGCAACGCUGCGGUGAAUACGUUCCCGGGCCUUGUACACACCGCCCGUCAAGUCACGAAAGUCGGUAACACCCGAAGCCGGUGGCCUAACCCUUGUGGGGGGAGCCGUCGAAGGUGGGACCAGCGAUUGGACUAAGUCGAACCAAGG
rnacentral:rRNA from 1 species